rnacentral:rRNA from 1 species
GACGAACGCUUGCGGCGUGCUUAACACAUGCAAGUCGAACGGAAAGGCCCUGCUUUUGUGGGGUGCUCGAGUGGCGAACGGGUGAGUAACACGUGAGUAACCUGCCCUUGACUUUGGGAUAACUUCAGGAAACUGGGGCUAAUACCGGAUAGGAGCUCCUGCUGCAUGGUGGGGGUUGGAAAGUUUCGGCGGUUGGGGAUGGACUCGCGGCUUAUCAGCUUGUUGGUGGGGUAGUGGCUUACCAAGGCUUUGACGGGUAGCCGGCCUGAGAGGGUGACCGGCCACAUUGGGACUGAGAUACGGCCCAGACUCCUACGGGAGGCAGCAGUGGGGAAUAUUGCACAAUGGGCGGAAGCCUGAUGCAGCAACGCCGCGUGCGGGAUGACGGCCUUCGGGUUGUAAACCGCUUUCGCCUGUGACGAAGCGUGAGUGACGGUAAUGGGUAAAGAAGCACCGGCUAACUACGUGCCAGCAGCCGCGGUGAUACGUAGGGUGCGAGCGUUGUCCGGAUUUAUUGGGCGUAAAGGGCUCGUAGGUGGUUGAUCGCGUCGGAAGUGUAAUCUUGGGGCUUAACCCUGAGCGUGCUUUCGAUACGGGUUGACUUGAGGAAGGUAGGGGAGAAUGGAAUUCCUGGUGGAGCGGUGGAAUGCGCAGAUAUCAGGAGGAACACCAGUGGCGAAGGCGGUUCUCUGGGCCUUUCCUGACGCUGAGGAGCGAAAGCGUGGGGAGCGAACAGGCUUAGAUACCCUGGUAGUCCACGCUGUAAACGGUGGGUACUAGGUGUGGGGUCCAUUCCACGGGUUCCGUGCCGUAGCUAACGCUUUAAGUACCCCGCCUGGGGAGUACGGCCGCAAGGCUAAAACUCAAAGGAAUUGACGGGGCCCCGCACAAGCGGCGGAGCAUGCGGAUUAAUUCGAUGCAACGCGUAGAACCUUACCUGGGUUUGACAUGGAUCGGGAGCGCUCAGAGAUGGGUGUGCCUCUUUUGGGGUCGGUUCACAGGUGGUGCAUGGCUGUCGUCAGCUCGUGUCGUGAGAUGUUGGGUUAAGUCCCGCAACGAGCGCAACCCUUGUUCACUGUUGCCAGCACGUUAUGGUGGGGACUCAGUGGAGACCGCCGGGGUCAACUCGGAGGAAGGUGGGGAUGACGUCAAGUCGUCAUGCCCCUUAUGUCCAGGGCUUCACGCAUGCUACAAUGGCUGGUACAGAGAGUGGCGAGCCUGUGAGGGUGAGCGAAUCUCGGAAAGCCGGUCUCAGUUCGGAUUGGGGUCUGCAACUCGACCUCAUGAAGUCGGAGUCGCUAGUAAUCGCAGAUCAGCAACGCUGCGGUGAAUACGUUCCCGGG